AUGGAGGGAGUUUGCUGGCUGUCUUUGAGAGUGGGGAAGGUCCAGGGCAGGGGUAAACCUGCCUUAGCCUCACUGCACAACCACCCAGGAGCCACCUGAGAUAAGCACCUGUGGAGGUCAUGGAGGAGGAGGAGGAGGGUCAGCAGGGGCAGGAGGAGGAUGACAUGGUGACCACAGUCAUGCUGUCCCUGGAGCUGGUACCCAUAAGCCUGGACGUGUCACAGGCAUCGUCUGAUGCCGGGGAGGGAUCUUCAGCCGGACCAGCUGUGACUGAGAAAUGCCACCCGAGUCAGCUGCCUGACCCCGGCAGACCCACAAGCGCUCCAGGGUGCAGGAGGAGCUGAUGUUGUGCAUCCUGCACAACAUGCAGCAGACUCUGGCGCAGGAGGUCUUGGAGGACACAGAGUGGCAGACCCGCAUGGGACCAGCUCAUGCGGCAGGGCGAUAACAUGUGUGCCAUUAUGUGCAAAAUGAUGGCACCCACCCGGCUACUGUCGCUGCUCCUGCCUAUCACCUUCUUGCCCCCCUGAUAUGCCCAUUCCCCCUCUCCCUGCCCCCCAAGCGAUGCCUCUGCUCCCUCCACAAGCAAUGCCAAUGCCCCCUCCCCAAGUGAU